GGCAGUGCAGUGCAAUGGUCUGAGCAUUGAACUAUGACUCUGGAGACCAGGGUCCGAAUCCCUGCUUGGCCA
rnacentral:tRNA from 1 species